CCUGUUCUGUGGAUGCCCUAAGACAGUGUCUACCCAUCACUCCAUCUGAAAUCACUUGUUCUGUGCAUAUUUCUCUCUCAAACUUAAACUACAAAGAGCCUGUGAAUAGAGGAUGAAGAGUGACCUUGGACUAAUUUUCUAGGUCAAAGAUCAUAGGUGAUGUGAAGAAAACCAGGAAACUGAUGUUGAAAGAAGUACUUAAUGACCCGUAUGAAUGGACUUAAAUGUGAAAGACUGUUCCAUUGUUUAUCUAAGAUAUAUGAAUUUAUUUAAUAUUUUGAUAUCAUUGAAAAAUUCAGUUACAGUUUUUGUACAUCAAAUGAAUUAUUAAACAUAUAAAAUGGUAA